GCCUGAGUAGCUCAGUCGGUUGAGCAUCUGACUUAGGCUCAGGUCAUGAUCUCGCCGUCUGUGAGUUCUAGCCCCGCGUCAGGCU
rnacentral:tRNA from 1 species